rnacentral:misc_RNA from 1 species
GAAAAUAAAAUAACUUCAAGAAGCACAUAUAUAUUUAAAAACAAGGCAUCAGAAGCAUAAAUGAACUAGCUCAAUCAAUCAGCAAAUAGAGUAUGAUGUAAUACCGCAGAGGAUCAAGAAAUGUUGAUAGAAACUACUCCUUGCAGCAGAACACCACAUUCAUCACCCUUUUCUACUCUGAUCAUAGCAAGCCUCUCAGCUGGAGAAUCAACUUCACAUAAUCCACUGGUCAUCUACAAAUGGUUGGAUGAGAAUUAUACUUCAUCAUUCUGGUUAAAGGGUUGUCUCUAUCUCUACCUGUCCCAAGAAUAAACGGUGGCUUUGGAGGUGCCGACAUCGGCGAGGAAUUGCAGAGGAGGAGAACGUUGGACUCCGUCGGUGGCGGAACAGGAUCCGACGAGACGACUAACCUGUUGAAUAGACAACUGGGCCG